CAGAGACUUAACCCACUGAGCCACCCAGGCGCCCCGCUGGAAUUGAUUUAAAGAGAGAGAGCCCUUCUAUCCUCCUGCGGAAGGUUCAGACCUGGCUGCUGUCAUUCUAGGAGCUGAGUAAGGACACGGCACUAAAGGUUCUCACAACUCAAUACACAGAAUUUAACUUAACCUCCCGAUUUUACCAUUUGCCUUACUUCCCUGAAAUACCCCUGAGGCUGGAGCUCUGUUUUAACUUUUCCAUCGAGAAUGCCUGUCUUCUUCUGUCGGAAUGGGAAGGAUUUAGCUGCCUGUAUGCACCACCAUAGAGCCGGCAUCUGGAGCACUAGCUGCUCCUUAUAUGGGCUUACAACUCGUCUUGUCACCUCAAAGUGACAGGCCACAGACAUCAACCAGUUUGUCUGCUACGUCCUGUCUCAGUGGAAUAGAGUGAGUUUUAUGUUAUCCUUAUUGAUGCCAGUAUUUUGCAUUAAAUCAAGGGUCAAUUAAUCUUCUCCCAAUGAGUGACAUGUCAUCAGCCUUUGUGAAAACAAGAUGCAUCAGGAAUUUCAAAUGGUGAAGUCUCAUCCUUGUUGUUAGACCUGCGUUUCCAAGAAUCUUGCUGAUCAAGACACAUGCUUACCAAAUGAGUCGUGUUCACCCAACUCUGCUAAUCCAGCACAAUUUAUUUCUAACAAAUUAAUACACAAAGUAUUUUUUCAAACAUAUAUAUCUGCAUGAUGCUUUAAUCACUUGUAUCAUUUCUAACCAGAUAUACUAUAUAUACAUUUAUACUUGGAAAAAUUUGGUGUCUUAUGUACUUAUAAAUCUUGUAAACUUCCUCAGAACAGAUUUCUCUUUUGAUCAAUUCUAUAUUUCAUCAUAAGUUUAAAAAAAAUGUGGCAGUAUAGCAGGGGAUGGUGGCCAAUAUCUCUGGUAUGAGCAGCAGAAGCUGAAAGUGGGAUCCAUUGCUACAAUAUUUUUACUUUGCAGACCAGCUGAUACUUUUCAUAAGGUGGUUCUGUCAGCUUUUAAGGCUUUUCCACUUCCUUAGGCUUGCUCUGUGGUCAGAUUGGUGGACUGCUGAAGCUGAUUAUCUGUCGCGUGAUUUAAUUUCCUUGCGUGCACCAAUCUCAGUACUACUGAAGCUUUACUAAUUAUUACUCUUUCAGAUACCAAGUUGACCAAAGGUGACUAACAAGCACUUGCUGAGUUUCUCUAUUGAUUUAAAAAUAUACAGUGAAGCUAAUGGGAAUAUUAGUACUCAAAAGUCAAAAGGGGACAUCGGAAGCACUUCAUAGAAUUUGGAGUUUGAAACUGAAAUCUAGGUUAAAGUGUGGAGAGUUUGUUUAUUUCACAGCCUUGGGUACUUGAAGAUCAAAUUCCCUUAGAUUAGCAGCUACAUCAGGUGUUCCUGUUAUGCAAUGUAGAAACUCAGGUUUAAUAUGAUCUUGCAUGAAACUUAUUUAGCCAUUAAUUGAAAGCAGACAAAUAGACUGAUUAGGUCAUGACUUGGCAACUUUGGUCAUUCUCUUUAUUUAUUUCUUUAUUUAGCUGAGUUUGCUUUCUUUAACUUCCCCUUCAGUGUGUGAUCCAUGGACUAAAAAUGCAGGGUUUUUUGUGUGUAUUUUAUUUAUCACAGACUUAAUUUUUUUUAAAUAUCU